AUUCGCCCUUGGGGAAUUUUCCGCAAUGGGCGAAAGCCUGACGGAGCAAUACCGCGUGAGGGAGGAAGGCUCUUGGGUUGUAAACCUCUUUUCUCAGGGAAGAACAGAUGACGGUACCUGAGGAAUAAGCAUCGGCUAACUCCGUGCCAGCAGCCGCGGUAAUACGGAGGAUGCAAGCGUUAUCCGGAAUGAUUGAGCGUAAAGGGUCCGCAGGUGGCAUUGUAAGUCUGCUGUUAAAGAGUUUGGCUCAACCAAAUAAGAGCAGUGGAAACUACAAAGCUAGAGUGUGGUCGGGGCAGAGGGAAUUCCUGGUGUAGCGGUGAAAUGCGUAGAUAUCAGGAAGAACACCAGUGGCGAAGGCGCUCUGCUAGGCCGAGACUGACACUGAGGGACGAAAGCUAGGGGAGCGAAUGGGAUUAGAUACCCCAGUAGUCCUAGCCGUAAACGAUGGAUACUAGGCGUAGCUCGUAUCGACCCGAGCUGUGCCGGAGCUAACGCGUUAAGUAUCCCGCCUGGGGAGUACGCAGGCAACUGUGAAACUCAAAGGAAUUGACGGGGGCCCGCACAAGCGGUGGAGUAUGUGGUUUAAUUCGAUGCAACGCGAAGAACCUUACCAAGGCUUGACAUGUCACGAAUCCUAUUGAAAGAUGGGAGUGCCUUCGGGAGCGUGAA
rnacentral:rRNA from 1 species